GACGUAGGGCGCGAGCGUUGUCCGGAUUUAUUGGGCGUAAAGAGCUCGUAGGCGGCUUGUUACGUCGACUGUGAAAACCCGCGGCUCAACCGUGUGGUCUGCAGUCGAUACGGGCAGGCUAGAGUUCGGUAGGGGAGACUGGAAUUCCUGGUGUAGCGGUGAAAUGACGCAGAUAUCAGGAGGAACACCCGGUGGCGAAGGCGGGUCUCUGGGCCGAUACUGACGCUGGAGGAAGCGAAAGCGUGGGGAGCGAACAGG
rnacentral:rRNA from 1 species